rnacentral:rRNA from 1 species
UGGGGAAUAUUGCACAAUGGGGGAAACCCUGAUGCAGCGACGCCGCGUGAGCGAUGAAGGCUUUCGAGUCGUAAAGCUCUGUCCUAAGGGAAGAUAAUGACGGUACCAUAGAAGAAAGCCCCGGCUAAUUACGUGCCAGCAGCCGCGGUAAUACGUAAGGGGCGAGCGUUGUCCGGAAUUAUUGGGCGUAAAGAGUGCGUAGGCGGCAAAUUAAGUCAGAUGUGAAAACUAAGGGCGCAACCCAUAGAUUGCAUCUGAAACUGAUAUGCUUGAGUCAAGGAGAGGAAAGUGGAAUUCCUAGUGUAGCGGUGGAAUGCGUAGAUAUUAGGAGGAAUACCGGUGGCGAAGGCGACUUGCUGGACUUGAACUGACGCUGGGGCACGAAAGCGUGGGGAGCAAACAGG